AAGACUACACUUUCAGGGAUAAUGGCUAUAGUUCGAUACUAGAGAAGUUUCUCUAACUGUGUAGUGUACUGGAAAGUACAGGGAGGGGGAGGAGGAGUGUGUAGCAUUCUCUCCUGAGUGUAAAUCCAGCUCUUGGUGUUGCUUUGCCACUGGGCAUUGAUUGAUCAUGCCUGCUCUUCUUUGGGAGGGCUGGAAGGAGAGGACAUAGUCUGAGUGAA